CUCACAUCACUUCAGCUUCAACAUCAACCAUGUUCUCUGUGGUUCUGAUACAGCUGCUGGCAGCUGGAUCCUGUGUGUACAGUAUUGAUCUCAUCCAGCCAGACUCAGUGGUUGUGCAGCCUGGACAGUCUUUGACCAUCACCUGUCAGGUCUCUGGUUAUUCUCUGACUGAUGACAGCUACGCAACAGGUUGGAUCAGACAGCGUGAAGGAAAACCAAUGGACUGGAUUUUGCAUCGUUGGGGUGGAGGCAGCGCCUAUCAAAAUGAUGCUCUGAAGAACAAGUUCCUUCACUACACACUCACUUCUACAAGUUCUGUGAAACUUACAGGACAGAAUGUGCAGCCUGACGACACAGCUGUGUAUUACUGUGUACGUGCACAGUGGUAUAGUUGGCUCCACAGUGAUACAAACAACCAACAAACCUGCACAAAUACCCAGAGACUCCUGUGGCUGAACCACGCACAAACAUGUUCCAAAUACUAUAAUUUAUAA